rnacentral:sRNA from 1 species
CCUCUUCAAUCAGUUGCGGGCAAAUGAAGUGGAUGUGGCUGUCAAAACCACCGGCGGUGACGAUGCUGCCUUCGCAGCUGAUGACUUCGGUGCCCGGGCCGAUGAUGAUGUCCACGCCCGGCUGGGUGUCUGGGUUGCCGGCUUUGCCGAUGGCCACGAUGCGGCUGUCUUUGAGGCCAAUGUCGGCCUUGACAAUGCCCCAGUGGUCAAUGAUCAGGGCAUUUGUCAUGACGGUAUCAACCGCGCCCUCGGCCCGGCUGCGCUGCGACUGCGCCAUGCCAUCGCGGAUG